CCUUGUGGGCGUUGGCCACCGCUAGCUGUUGAUACGCUCCUAAUUAGCGCAGACUUCGAGUGCUGGCAACUUUUGACAACUUGGCCUCAAAUCAGGUAGGACUACCCACUGAACUUAAGCAUAUCAAUAAGUGGAGGAAAAGAAACUAACAAGGAUUCCCCUAGUAACGGCGAGUGAAGCGGGAAGAGCUCAAAUUUAAAAUCUGGCAGGCUACGCUUGUCCGAAUUGUAAUCUCGAGAAGUGUUUUCCGCGUUGGCCUGUGUACAAGUCCCUUGGAACAGGGCGUCAUAGAGGGUGAGAAUCCCGUCCUUGACACAGACACCCAAUGCUUUGUGAUACACUCUCAAUGAGUCGAGUUGUUUGGGAAUGCAGCUCAAAAUGGGUGGUAAAUUCCAUCUAAAGCUAAAUACUGGCGAGAGACCGAUAGCGAACAAGUACCGUGAGGGAAAGAUGAAAAGCACUUUGGAAAGAGAGUCAAACAGUACGUGAAAUUGUUGAAAGGGAAACGAUUGAAGUCAGUCGUGCCUGCCUAGAUUCAGCCUUCUGGUGUAUUUCUAGGUCGGCAGGUCAGCAUCAGUUUGGGGGGGUUAACAAGGGAGCUGGGAAUGUGGCAACCUCGGUUGUGUUAUAGCCCAGUUUCGCAUUGAUCUCGCUGGACUGAGGAACGCAGUGCGCCCGCAAGGGUUG
rnacentral:rRNA from 1 species